CCACUUCCUACCAGGGGUUUAAUUUCCGUUUGACUUCCGGCCCGCCGCGAUGCUUCGUUAACUCUGGGGAGGGAGGAGAUGUCGCUAAAUAUGGUUUAAAUUUGUUACAGCAAGGCGUUGAUCUGCCAAGCACACCUCUGCCUCUGACAGCUUCUCCCCAUGCUGACCACCAAUAGACAAUGCCCACCAUGAAAGCUGCCGUUGAUGGGCUCCUGGCCAAGCACCACAUGGAGAAAGACAUCCUGAAGGGGGUGGAUGGGACAUACAGCUCUGCUACAGCUAAACGAAUUUGCUAAUGUUUUAUUGCACCAUAUAGUAUUGUUUUUUUCUCCAUACAAUAUCUAGGCUAACUGUGCCUCAAAGUUGUUGGAUUCCCACAAGGUCUCAGACUCCAGGAUGGGUAAAUGCUUACAACAAAGAAACAGAUGAAGACCUAGAGUUGUCGAUUUCCAUUGUUACUUGUAAUGUUAAAAAGGGAAGAAAAAGACAAUCCUAUUUUUCUAAAUUAGCUAACUAGACUACUACACACAACCACUAGAAUAGUUAUGUUUUAUGUUAUUGAGUAGGCCUAUAUCAUCAUUUCAUCUAAUGAAUCAAAUUAUUAAUCUAACAGAAAUCCUCGUCAUUUUGUAAAAUGUAAGGGCUUUUUACAUGUUGCAAUAAAGUUGACUAAAGGAGAAGCUCA